UACAGAGGGUGCGAGCGUUGUUCGGAAUUACUGGGCGUAAAGCGCACGUAGGCGGCUUUGUAAGUAAGAGGUGAAAGCCCGGAGCUCAACUCCGGAACUGCCUUUUAGACUGCAUCGCUUGAAUCCAGGAGAGGUGAGUGGAAUUCCGAGUGUAGAGGUGAAAUUCGUAGAUAUUCGGAAGAACACCAGUGGCGAAGGCGGCUCACUGGACUGGUAUUGACGCUGAGGUGCGAAAGCGUGGGGAGCAAACAGG
rnacentral:rRNA from 1 species